AGGGAUUUAGCUCAGUGGCACAGCAUCUGCCCAGCAAGCAUGAGGUCCUGAGUUCAAUUCCCAGAGCCCUCU
rnacentral:tRNA from 1 species